GUCGUAACAAGGUUUCCGUAGGUGAACCUGCGGAAGGAUCAUUAAUGAAUGUCGAAAGACAAUUAUUUAUCAAACACUUGUGAAUUUUAUCAUAUUUUGCUUUGGCUGAAAGGCCAACAUUUAAACACAUCAAGAAUUUUUAGUAUGAAACUGAAUUAUAAAUUAUUCAAAACUUUCAACAACGGAUCUCUUGGUUCUCGCAUCGAUGAAGAACGCAGCGAAUUGCGAUAAGUAAUGUGAAUUGCAGAAUUUUGUGAAUCAUCGAAUCUUUGAACGCACAUUGCGCCCUCUGGUAUUCCAGGGGGCAUACCUGUUUGAGCGUCAUUUCAUUCUUAAAACAUAAGUUUUAGUGUUGAGAUUGUUUGUAUUAAUACAAUAACUCGAAAUGAAUUGGGCAGAGGCAACUUUAGCUUUUAUACAACGUAUUAGGUUUUACCAUCUCGUUGGACAAACGGAAGCUAUUGCGGCAUCGGCGUUAUAACGAAUUAUAAGUUUGACCUCAAAUCAGGUAAGAUUACCCGCUGAACUUAAGCAUAUCAAUAAGCGGAGGAAAAGAAACCAACAGGGAUUGCCUUAGUAACGGCGAGUGAAGCGGCAAAAGCUCAAAUUUGAAAUCUGGCAUCCUUUGGGUGUCCGAGUUGUAAUUUGAAGAAGGUAACUUUGAGGUCGGCUCUUGCAUAUGUUCCUUGGAACAGGACGUCAUAGAGGGUGAGAAUCCCGUACAUGGUGAGAGAACCGGCUUUAUGUAAAGUGCCUUUGAAGAGUCGAGUUGUUUGGGAAUGCAGCUCUAAGUGGGUGGUAAAUUCCAUCUAAAGCUAAAUAUUGGCGAGAGACCGAUAGCGAACAAGUACAGUGAUGGAAAGAUGAAAAGAACUUUGAAAAGAGAGUGAAAAAGUACGUGAAAUUGUUGAAAGGGAAGGGCUUGAAAUCAGACUUGGAGCUCAACGAUCAGCUUUCUUUCGGGAAUGUGCACUCGUUGUUUUCUGGGCCAACAUCGAUUCGGACGGCGGGAUAAUGGCAGUUGAAUGUGGCUUGGUUUUCGGAUCAAGUGUUAUAGCCUCUGUUGAUACCGCCAGACCGGAUCGAGGACUGCGCUUCGGCUAGGAUGUUGGCGUAAUGAUUUUAAGCCACC
rnacentral:rRNA from 1 species